AACUCACCUCCUCCUGGAGACUAUGUCGGGUCCUUAACCCACUGAACCACAGUGGGAACGCCCUUCGAGUUGCCUCAUUAGGGGAGGAAUGGCUUCUAAAAAUGCUUCUACCUCCUCUUGAACAAUCCUGUCUCCCAGGACCAGGAGUCUUGACCUGACGAGGCAGAGUCAGAGGCCCUUCCCAAAUAUGAAAUUUUCCUAGAGUGCUUCACACCAGAGGUAUGUUGGUAGCAGAAGAAAAACCAAGUUUGAAAUGUAUGGAGCCAGGAGCUAGUCUGCCGAAAAUAAUUCUGGUCAUCAGUCACGUAAAAUUGUAAGUGGGAGGUUUGGGGUUUGUACAUAUCUAAUUAAAAUAGAAAUUCUUCCUUCUCAGAAAUAUGCUCAGUCAUGUCGCAUAUGUGAUUAUCAACUCACUCUUCUUUUUUCUUCUUUCAGUGGGAACUGUGUGAAAUAUCAUUUGUUAUAUUUUGUUUGUAGAGCACAAACCUCUAGCAGAAGUACAAACAGCUAGUGGAAUCUUCCCUGAAUUUGUAUGUUUUGGCAUUUCAGCUCUCAAUAAGAAAAUUAGUUUUGCCCAACCAUACUAGGGGAAAGACCGAAUUAUCUUUCUGUUCUCUCCAUAGGAAAUAAUGCUACCUCCUUGGCAUAUUUUUCAUGUGCAGCCAAAAAUAUAGGGAUGUAUGUAUGAUAGAGAAGUAAUAAGUAGGAGUCAAGGUAUUUAGGAUCCAUCACCAUGGACAAAUCCCACUGCCUGAUUUGGAAGAAGAAGAAAAAAAAAAGCUGUGUCUGGAGCUUGCAACUCCUUCUGUGCAUUAUACCCCCUGGCUGAUUUAACAUGGCUCCCUGAGAUUUCACAGCUUGGCAGAGGUUGUGUGGCUCUCCUGAGGCCACACAGUCUCGGAUGAAUUUGCCAGGCCCUCCUGGGUGGCCCCGUGUCUGCAAAGUCCUCCUAAAGCAGAUUCCGUGGGAGCAGCUUGGAUUGGUGGGAAAAGCCGUGGGAUCAGACUCAGAGUUGAAGUUCCACCUGCCCAGCUGUGUGACCUUGAGAAGUGACUGGCCCUCUCUGAACCUCGGUGUCCUCAACUAUGGAAUGGGCACGGAGCCAAAUGAAAGAAGAUGGUGUGAGUCAGAUCCGAAACUACAGCAAGUCGGGAAUAAAGCAGCACCUGAUAGCAUCUCCAGGAUUGCAAUUCCACAAAAGAUGCCUAUGGUGAAAUCCUGACGCCCAAUGUGAUGGCAUUAGAAGAUGGGGGCCUUUGGGAGGUGAUGACAACAUGAGGGUGCCGCCCACACGAAUGGGAUUAGCGCUCUUAUAAGCGACGCCCCCCUCCCCCCACAGAGUUCCCUUGUUCCCUCUGCCAAGUGAGGACACAGGAAGAAGACGGUCAUUUAUGAGCCAGGAAGACCUUGAGACAAACCACAUCUUCCAGCACCAUCAUCCUGGACCUCAGAGCCUUCAGAACUGUGAGAAAUAAAUUUCUGCUAUUUUUAAGCCUGUGGGUAUUUUGUAAUAGGAGCUUGAGUGAGAGGUUCCGUAUGUCAAAUCUGUGGUCAUUUGUUAGAGGAGCAAAGGGAACAUAGAAUGAUGGUAGGAUGACGAUGGUGGUGGCGAUGGAGGUGGUGGUAGCCAUGGUGACGAUGGCAGUGAUGAUGGGGGUGGGGUGGCGAUGGAGGUGGUGGCCGCAGUGGUAAUGACAGCCGUGAUGGAAAUGAAGUAUGGUGAUAGUAAUAAAGGUAGCGGUGGUGGAGGUGAUGAUACAUUUUGUAGGAGCUCAGUGACAACCCUCCUGUUUGGAUCCUCCCCUGACCGUGCAUUUUGAAGCAGGCUUUCCUGAGCAGAAGAUUGAAGCGGAGGACCUUAUGGGAAGGGGCUGGCUAGGGGGUUGAGAAGUGGCUGCCGAGUCAAGAGAGGACAGAGAGGUAGGGCGGGCAUGGAAGCCAAGCUAACAGGGCUUGAGCUUGUCGGCGAGAGGCGCUUUCGAGGCUUUUUACAUUUCCCUCUUUCAGUCUCUUUCUGCUGAGGACCAGAAGCUGCUCUUCAGGUGUUCCCUGGAGGGAGAAAACAGACAGUGUCUCCUGAGCGCCUCACUGCUCUGGGAUGGCCUGGGCGUGGGGGCCCAAGGGGCCUGCAGUGCUCUGAAGUGUGUGCAGCCAGUGUGUCCAGCAGCUCGGCCAAGAGAGGGGAAAGGACAUCCCAGAGCCCCCAGCAGCGUCGGGGCCCAGACUCAGCCUCCUGGCUUUCCAUCCUGGCUUUUCCUAUCAGGCCACAAACUCUUUGACCCCUGAGUCACUCAGAGGCAGAGCGGAAAGGGUCAAGGAUCCAACUGGACGGUACAGAGAGAGCCAAAGACAAGAGGAGGAGUCCCCGCUGAGGCUCAGCAGUAACGAACCUGACUAGGAACCAUGAGCGUU